AAAAAUAGAAAAAGCAUCUUGGACCACUGGAUUGGAAAUGAAUGGUACAGAUUUAGGUGGAGGGAUCUCAGAUCACUUAAUGCACAUUUCGCAGAAACCCCCCUGCUAAAGUUAUAUAUGAAAUAGGACGUUUGUAGUAUACACCUCAAGUCUUCAUGAAAUAUGACCCUUUUUAAUAUAAGCACAGUGCUGAUGCCCAUCUCUUGUUAGUUUGAUAUAAAAUCUUUGCAAAUAUUUUCUACGUACAUGGAAUCCAUACACAUUAAGUGUCUUUUUUGGCCUCUGAGACAUUCAGGAGAGUUGAACAUCUUUCUAAGAACAUCAAUAUGUAUCACUAAUAUUUUAGCAAUGAGAGAAUUAAGCCAUCCCGGAUGAAGACCUACAGGUAGAUGUCAAAUUGUAAGUAUAUGAGUACAUGAGCAAAUUUAGGGCUGAAAUUAUCACUGCUCAGCAAGCAUUCGAGUAUUUUCGUAUUUGAGUACAUGAGAACAAAACGCAAGAGGCAUACAUAGAUUAUUUUUAGUACAUGUCCGGGAAGAACUAGUACUAAGAACUUAGAUUAUGACCACCCAACAAAUAUCUUGAUGGUACAUGAAAGAAAAGAUCUAUCAUUUUGCCUCUUGUUUUAGUGCUUCUUUGGUAAUUGAGUUUCAUCUGCCAGGAGAGAUGACAACCUCCAUGGACUCUUAUUCACCUUGAUCAGUUUAAUCACCUAGCUAAGCACACCAAAUAAACCUGUGUCAGAAACAAAUACCAAAUAGCAUAUCUUGAGAAGAGAGACGGUCAUUAUGUAUAGCUUCAUUCGCCGCUCCAACUCAGAAUACGUAAACUAGAUGUCAAACUUAGGAUGACAUUCCUCAAACAUAUUAAUACACAUGUAACCAAUCAGGAUAACUUUUCAGGUCAAUGCUGGCUUUCCAGCUUCUACAGGGGAGUUAUCAAAUCAACUAAAAAUGGCAUGUGAUAGCAGGAUAUGUCUAACAGAGAGAGCACAAAUAUUUGUUGCGGCAUAUUUCCGUAUUUCAUUGUAGAUUAUGUUAUGUUGUUAUACCUACUGACUUAUAAAACCAACAUCAUCCAAACUCAUUUUUUGCAAGAAAACAAUAUAACACGCAUAUGUUCUAACUCAAAAGAGUUGUGAUAAAGUGACAAAGAUUCAUGUUUGUGACAUUGGAUGGCCUUUAGCUGCUUGCAUAAAAACCAGCUCAUAAGAAUUGGAUAAGCAUGGUAUCCUAUGAAAAAAACACGCUUUAUAUGCAAAUCUUAUGACGACAAAGUACAAAAUAGAGGAUAUUGAUGAGACAAAACAGAAUUGAAGUUGCAUAUUUGUGCAUUUAAUUCAGAGUACAUAGCAGAAUAAAAGAAAUAAUUGCAGGCAUGAAUCCCUAGUUUCUAUCAUGGAUUCAAGCACAUGUGUCGUUGAGGAGUUAAGAAAGGAGAGGGACCAUGGUGUGGCGGCGCCGCUCAGAUCGUGUGGUCGUGCGGAGGAGAAGACCACAAGGCACAACUUUGUAAAGUGCAGAAAGGGGUAGAGUGUAGGUACUGCGCGCUGGAGAUGUACAACAGGUGGAGGUCGUGGUGCCUAACGUAAACAGAAGUUUAUAACUAAACUUGUAAUGGCACAUGCAGCUGAGCAAUUGAUAAAAUGUGACACUGUUUGAGCGAAUGAAAUAAAAGGUUAAAAGUUAACUAAGAAUGUAUAAGAAAUUUUUAAUGGGCUGUGAACAAUCUCAGUAAGUAUCCCUAUUCUCUAUUGCGCACAGUGCACACACGGAAAGUUGGAAACAGAGUAGCUACUUUUACUGAAAACUGAAAAUAUGAAGUAUCAGAUAACGAAUCUAACGAUGCAUCAUUGAGACAUGAACAGAUUCCACGUUAACAAGUACGGUAGUAAAAAGAAAAGGAAUCUGUACAGAUGUAGCAUCAAUCUAGUAGCUAAUAUAUAUUUACCUGAAGAACAAACCACCGUGAUGGCCUGUUCACGGCACCUAGAAGCGGUCGGUCGUGAAGGAGGCGAGGAUUCCACCACCGCCGAGCUGGUGCUGCAUCGCAUGCGGGGAAAGGACCCGGGAGCAGGGCCGCGAGCUGAUCAGGGGGCCUGAGUUGGGGGAGGAAUCCAAUCUAAUCUGCCUCAAACUACAGCGCCGGCGACGAACCGGUUAGGAUCCAUUGGAGGAGAGAUGCAUCAGCACAUUUGCUGGGCGUGCUCGCCCAGCUUGGCUGAGGAUCUGGGCCUCCGCCGCCGCCAAGGAUUUUUCGGUCCUGCCGCCGCCGCUGUGUAAGGGGAUUUGGGAUUGAAGCGGGAGGGCAUCGAAAGCAAAUUUGCUUGGAGCGUCGGACCUUUCUCC
rnacentral:lncRNA from 1 species